UUCUAUAAAAAAUAUUUUUCAUAUACAAUUUUUUCCCCGUAAAACAAAUGGAGCCUAAAUAACUAAUAUUGGAAUACUUCUCACAUUACUUAGAUGAGAUUUUAAUUAAAAAUGACUCUGGGAUUACUAUGUUCUUAGACCUGAAACUGGGGCUAAUUAAAUUAGUCUAUAAUACUUCUCACAGUUGAACAUGUUUAACUGAAUAACAAUAAACAUAGUUGCAUAAGCACAUCCACCAAGACCGCCACAUAAUAUUAGAUCCUCCUCCAUGCCAAAACAGAUGCAAUUAUAUUUUUUAAAAUUAUUUUAUCUUCGCUAUAAUAUGGAUAAUGCGCAUGAAUUGAUUUAUUGGAAUGGAGUGAUAUCAUCACAUAUACAGAUGCACCAGGAAAUAACCUUCUAUGUUUGGCAGAGUAAUAUGUCAAGCACUGACGGCCACAAUGAGUAGAAAGAAACAGAGUAGCACAAGGAGUCAGAAUAUAACAUAUGAUGUAUCUUGAAAGAUAAAAUUACUUACCCCCAA
rnacentral:misc_RNA from 1 species